rnacentral:rRNA from 1 species
AGAGUUUGAUCCUGGCUCAGAUUGAACGCUGGCGGCAGGCUUAACACAUGCAAGUCGAGCGGUAGCACAGGGGAGCUUGCUCCCUGGGUGACGAGCGGCGGACGGGUGAGUAAUGUCUGGGAAACUGCCUGAUGGAGGGGGAUAACUACUGGAAACGGUAGCUAAUACCGCAUAACGUUGCAAGACCAAAGAGGGGGACCUUCGGGCCUCUUGCCAUCAGAUGUGCCCAGAUGGGAUUAGCUAGUAGGUGGGGUAAUGGCUCACCUAGGCGACGAUCCCUAGCUGGUCUGAGAGGAUGACCAGCCACACUGGAACUGAGACACGGUCCAGACUCCUACGGGAGGCAGCAGUGGGGAACAUUGCACAAUGGGCGCAAGCCUGAUGCAGCCAUGCCGCGUGUGUG